CUUUGUCAGAUCUCUGACCUAGCAAAUACUGACAAGCAUCCUUCAUCUAUUCCCCAAAUGCCCUUGUUGGACCAUUAUCUAUGUGUCCAAAUGUGACUAUAAACUUGUUCCUUGUGAUACUGGGCUGUUUUCUAACAGCAUUCUUGUGGCUUCUGUUGAAAGUUCCCCUGCUGCUCUUACAAACCAGAGCCCUUCAUGGAUCUCUGCAUCCUCUCACAACAGAAGGAAGGGUAAGGGUGAAUGCCCC